rnacentral:lncRNA from 1 species
GUGUCCACCACUUGAUCCAAAAAUGAUCCAUCAAAAAGUUUUAGGCAUACAAUUAGAUGCAUUCAGAGUAUAAUUGUAGUAAGCAGACCAAAUUAAAAUGCGGAUUAUUAGUUAAAUAAACAGACACGUAGUCCCGUGGAGAUUUAGAAAAGGAAAAAUAAAAGUCGUACGAAUCAAGCAGUGGAGUGCUCCAACUUAAGUGGAACUGGUGGAAUGCUUUGUUCAUGCCUGAAGAUGUUAUCAGGAUCAACUUUGGUCUUCACUCUGACCAAUCUGUUGAAAUUAUCUUUGAAAUACUUAAUGCCCCAAGCACUAGCCUCAGUGUAGCUUGUGUUAAAUUUCUUGUUGAUACCCAAAUCAAGAUCCCUGUAAUUCACGUAUGCAGCUCUGGGGAACAUUGAAACAUAAGGAGCCAUGUAGUCAUAUAGCCUCCUAAUCCACCCAAUAUGUUUUGUUGCAUUCUUUUCGUCCCCAUCUUUCCAGGCAUUCAUGUACUGGAUUGUGAAUAUGUUCCCCUUUCUAUGAGGGAAAGCAAUCUCAGAUUCUGAAAUCUUGCUCAUUAUUCCACCAUAAGGAUUCCAUAAUAUUAUUGGAAUAUCUUCUUCUAGUACCAUUUUCCAUAGCCCUUCAAGCACAGUUUCGGGAACGGGCUCUUGGACAAAGUCUAAUUUGGCUUUGAAAUAGUUCUUGCCUAAAGACUGUACAUCAAGUAGAAUUUCAGGUUCCGUGUUAUUUGGGUAGCCAGCAAAGUAAAGCACUGACCUGAUCCAGCUUGUUUCAAUGCAAUCGUUUCGCGUCAAUCCCAAUUCAGGAAACCUCUUAUGCAUUACCUGUUGGAGCCUCUCAGAGUCACCAAGAAACAGGGCAUUGUAUGAUGUUGUUACAGUUUUCUUGCCUUUUGGGCCUGCAUUUGCCAAUUGUAUGAUGACUCUAAUGAAGAGAUCCUCAUCAAGCUUAUCCGCAACUUGUUGCCAUUUGUAAAGAAUCUUUGUGGCACCUUGUUCCAGGGUCUUGCUAACCGUAAAAACUGUCACAGUUGCUGGCACGGGAACUAGUUUUACCUUCCAGGCAAGUAUGAUUCCAAAGCUACCUCCCCCGCCACCUCGAAUAGCCCAAAAUAAAUCUUCGCCCAUGGCUUCUCUGUCAAGAAUCCUGCCGCGAGCGUCAACAAUUCUUGCAUCAACAACAUUAUCAGCAGCAAGGCCAUAUUUUCUCAUCAUGGUACCAUAGCCCCCUCCUGUGAUGUGCCCUCCACUGCCUACACUAGGGCAAAGACCAGCAGUAAAGCCCUGAGUAUUGCUUUUCUCCGCAAUUCGGUAAUACAGCUCACCAAUUGUGGCACCAGCCUGAACCCAAGCGGUUUUAUCGUUAAUAUCAACUUCAAUGGAUCUAAGCUUGGCAAGGUCUAAAAGAAAGAAAGGUGUUUCAAUUUGUGAUACAUAAGAAAGGCCCUCAUAAUCAUGGCCUCCGCUUCGAAUUCUUAGAUGAAUCCUUAGAUCUCUGGAGCAAAUAACGGCUGCUCGGACAUGGGAUUCAUUCAAUGGAGUGAAUAUAAACUCAGGCUUUGGCAUUGAAGGCACCAAGUACCUGAGGUUUUGAGCAGAAGAUUCAAGGACCGACAAAAAUGAAGAGUUGUUUGGAGUGUAGAAAUUUGAAAAAGGAAUGUAAACCUCGGAAUUAAUUGUGAGGCAUUUGAUAAAAUUAUCUAAAACUGAGAUUGAAGUUGUCCCUGAAGCUGAUAACAGAAGAACUGAAAUUAGUGGAAGAAUGCACUUGCUUGAAGGCAUCAUUUCUUUAGAAGUUCAGGAAUUAGGAGCUUGAGCAAUCAUAUAUAAUUUGGCUGCCUCUCCAUUAAUCCACGUGUUUGAUGUACCAUAUUAAAAUUUUCAUGUACCAUAUUAAAAAUUGUUCGAGAGGGCCGGAAGACAAAACUAAGCGAAGAGAGCUGGGCAAUACCUCAUGGGGAGCAGAUAGUAAAUUUCGUUCAAGUUUGAUGUACCAUAUUAAAAUUGCUUAAGCUAGACUCUGUCUUCUUUCACUUAUUGCUUUCCAGCUUUUAGAAAGGAUUAAAAAAUUCGGACCUGGCACAGAAGAAAGAAGAUGCUAUAUAAAAAGAUUAAACUGGAGAAAAAAGCGACAGAAUGCUGCCGUUUCACGUGUUACUUCCUUUUUUUUUUGCUCACAACACUUAAUAAAAUAAAUUUUUUAAGUAGAAAAAAAUAAGAAUAAGUGAUUAAAAAUUUUGUAACGUUUUUGUCCAGUAAAAAAAAUUUCUAACAAUUUAAAUAUAUAUAAAACACAUCCAGCAAUUUUUAUAAAUUUAAUCCAUUAUUUUCUAACAAUUUGAACUAAAAAAAUUCCAAUAAUUCAAAUAUAUAAACACAAUUAUAUUUGAAUGUAAUGGGAAAGAGAAAGUUAACAAUUAUUCGGUUAUAAUUUUAUCAAUUUUGUUGGCAUGGUCUUUAGCACCAAAUUCAUAUCUCCGAAUGCAGAUUUUUGGGAUAAUGGUCGUUGGUUUUAUUUCAUUUUUCUUCUAUUAAUGCAAACACAUAUAUGAGUUCGUCAGAUUUGGCUUCGUCGGGUUUAGGGGAUAACGGCGUUUUUUGGUCUUUUAUCAUUACUUUCUUACUUUAAUGUUUAUUUUUCAUUAUUUUAAUUUUUUAAAUGAAAAAAGAAACGAAAGAAUGAUGACAGUAACGACAACCGUAUUUUCAUUAUUUUAAUUUUUUAAAUAAAAAAAUGAACAAAAGUAUAAUUUACGGAAAUGGCAGUGCCCGCUGCCAUUUCUGUCGUCCUUCUUUCGCUCAUUGUUUUAGCACUACUGAAAAUUUAAUGUCAUAUUAUCAAAUAUGUCUUUAGUCGGAGUCUCCAAGAUGGACUCUUCUAUCAGAUAAUCGGGUCUCUCAUCUUCUUUUUGCACAGGAAUCAAAUUUCCUUCUCUAUUUUGGUUAAAACAAAAUCCUUGUGAGCAAAUUAAAAUUAUGCAAAAAAUAAAAAAUAAAAAAUUGAAGAAUUGAUCACUGCUAAUGAUACCAAAUUCAACACACAAGAAGUUUAACACAGUUUACUCUAAAUUGAGCUAUUUGCACGAGUUAAAGAUUUUUUAACUGCAAAUGACAACAGGUCUGUAUUGAAUAAGUUUCAUUGCAUGCUUGAUUUCUCACUAACAUAUGAAUAUAUACAAGAGUGGAGUGGUCUCCAAGUUAAGUGCUACACUUAAUCUAACCGUAGGAUGAUGCAGCCUUAUAUCCAACCGUUCACAGUGCUCGUGAUACAGUGUACUGUAUAUGAGGACAAAGUAUUGUCUUUAAAAAUCCAGCUUGCUACAUUUUCUUUAUCAAUAAGGCAUUCAUAACUUAUUCUAGACGUUUCCUCAACAAGGGAGAUGCUGAACAGUGUUAGACCUCUUUGCGUGGGUUGGUGGGCUUCCCUUUGGGCUGGUUAGCUAUAAAGUGAGAGACCAAUCCACUAUAAUAUAAUGAGAGGGAGACAAGAAAAUUUUGGUUUCAAUAGGAGCCAAUGAAAAAUAACAAAACUCAGAGGGCAUAACAUGUUUUAGUUUUAAAAACUUAUCGGGGUAAACGAAUAAUUUUCUUGUGAAAAUAUUAAUUACGAGAUUUAUUUUUAUUUAAAAAAAAGGUAAACCUCAACUAUACAUUUACAAGAAAUCUCUACUAAAAAAAAGAUAUAUGAAAUAUACCACUAUAUAUAAUUACUUGUAUCCAUAUAUAAAAAAAAAUUGCAUAUAAUAAAAGAAUAUAAUAUGUAUUUUAUGGAGAGAUUUAUAGCGAACAAGAGCUAAUCUUUAAAUUCUAACAAAUACAAAUAGAAACUAAGUGGACUUACAAUUUACUAAGCACUUUAGCUAGAAUGACUAAUUUGAUAUUACACCACUCAUUUGCGAAGCUAUAUAAACACACUUGUGAUAUUUUAUGUCACGCAUGAUAGAUGAUACACCAAACUAGUUUAAGUACACUCUUUUUCAAAUCUUUCAAAAAGACUAUAUGUAAUCCUUUACUUAUAGUCUUUUUCAUUGUGGGGGUGGGGGUGGUGGACCGGUGUUGUCCAUUGUUGGCUGUAAUCCCAUGGGUCCAAAAAAACUUUCAAGAAAGAUUAAGGUUUAAUUUGAAAUUUAACUCAUUCCUUUGAAAACCUUAUGUUUUGUCCCUUUUAGUUUACAAGUUUUUAGUUUUUCGCUCCUUAAGUUUGUGUUUCUUCAUUCUGUCCUCAUUGAACUAAAAUCCUGAUUUCGCCGAUAGAUGCUUUAUUCCUUGUUGGACUUUUGUUUAUAUUCCUUAUUUAAUAAACUUGUACUCCUUGGCGCAAUAAACUUAUCUUAUCCUUUAAGUGGGUUAUGUCUAUUGUCAUUUGUUGUGCUAUCCAACUUCUAGAGAAUUUUGUCUUCAGACAGAUAUGGCCUUGAAAUAAUUCUUCAUUAAAUUGUUGCACGAUUAUGUUUAGUUAUUAACGCUCCUUUUUUUUUAAAUAUAAAAUAGAAGUUAAGUUGAUUGUAUCUCAUAGUUGUUUGAUAAAAAAUUUAUAUUAUUUUUAUUUUUUAAAUUAUAAUUUACAAUUAUAUUUAUCAAAUACCAUACACUUUUAUUUUAAAACUAGAGCUUUCAUAACAUUAUAAAUACUAUAAAGUCUGUUUCUUCUUCUAAUUAGGUAUAUAAUCUUUUUCUUUUUCUCCUCAACCCCCCCAAAAAAAAGAAAACCACCUCUUUUGUUAGACCACAGGUAAUAACAUGUAUGCCUACUUCGCACAGGCUGAAAAUGAAACGAGAAUAAUUAUAUAAUAUUAAACUACAUAUAUUUUACAUUAAAAAGAAAUUUAAGGAGAAAAUUGUAUGGAAAUUAAAAGAACUCCCUAUAUCGGGCUCGGCAAUGCUUUCAACCCUCACCUUAUCCAAUUUUAAGAAUUUUUGGACCCUCUAAGUGCAAGUAUAACAUUGCCUGCUUUAAACGUUUAAGAAAACUAGGGGCGCACCUAGAACCUGUGAUCAAUUCAGGUUGUGUGAACAUAGGUGUAUUUAAGAAUGAAGAAUGCAAUAUAAAAUAUAUAUGUGUGUAUAUAUAGUUUUUUUUUAGUGCGAACGCCCUCAUUUUAUUUUUAUGCGGACACUACUUUUAAACCAUGAGAUUUAAGAGAGUUAAUUUUUAACUCUCUUAAACCACACGAUUUUAUAGUUCAUUCAAAAACUAACUAUUUUAAACCAUGCGGUUUAACAGUGUGUCCGCAUGAAAAUAAAAUGAAGGCGUCCGCAUUAAAGAAUGAAGAAGAAUAAUAAUAAUAAUAAUAAUAAAAAGAUUGAUAGCGAUGAUACAACAAAUAAACUUAUAAUAUAAAUUAUUAAAAUUAUACCAUAAAAAUUAUUUUAAAAUCCUUUUUAUUUUUUAUUUUUAUAGAAAAUGUGAAAUCUUUGAAUAAUUUGAUAUAAUGAAAAGAAAAUGAGUAAGCACGGUUGUGAAGGAAAUAAGCCAUGAAAUUAUGAAAAUAUUGUUAAUUUUUACUGUAUGUUAUUUUUUUAAGUACUUUUAAUAUAAGUGACGAUGCUAUAGUACAUUGACAUUUUUUUUCAAUUAAAAUAUUUUAAAAAAAUUAAAGAAGAAAUAACAUUUUAGUCCCUAAUAAUUUUAGUUUAUUCAGUAAACAUAUAAUUUAGUCAUUUUAUAGAAUAAUCACUAAUUCCACUUAAAAAAAUUGAAUCAAGGAUAUAUUUGAAACUAAAAUAAAAAUUCUAUUGUUAUAUAAAAUUGAUGAAAGCAUAAGGGCAAUUGAAUUAGGAAAGUAUAUGAAAACAAAAUGAAAACUCUGUCAUUAUAUCAAAUUAAUAAAACAAUAAGGGAUAUAGAUGAUUUUUCCUGAACUAGAGGUGUGUUGGUUGGCCGCUGAAGAAAUGAAGAAGAAAUUUGUAUUUCACUCUGAAUUUUGUUUACAAUAAUAACAAAAUUUAAAAAAACACCUUAAAACCAAUGCUAAAAAUGAAUAUAAAACAAACAGUUGGUCAAAAUCGUAUAUAUUAACUUGUAAAGCAAUCACACUUAGGAUAAAUAAAUAAAAAUCACCUGAUGAGAAACCCAAUAAUACAAAUUGAAUUUUACCCAAGAAAGUUAGGAGUCUGAAGGUGUGAUGAAACAAAAUUUUCACGCAGUUGGGAUGGGAGUGAGCAUGCACAAGCAAACUUUCCGAGACCCAAAUUGAAAACCAGAUUACCAUUUUGAAAACCACAUGGUGUGUUUCCUUGAUAAAAAAAAAGGGCCAGAUUACUGCAUAUUAUAAAUAAAAUUAUAGUCCGGUGGGGGAUUCAGCAAAGGCUAAAGCAAAACUAACUUUACUACCACUUAAAAUAAUAAAAAUUUUAUGUAAGUCCAAAACUUGGAACUGGUGGAAUGCUUUGUUCAUGCCUGAAAAUAUUAUCUAAUACAAAUUGUACACCAAAAAUAAAAUUCCAAUCAAGCAGUGGUGUGACUGGUGUCCUCCAACCAAAGUGGAACAGGUGGAAUGCUUUGUUCAUGCCUGAAAAUAUUAUCAGGAUCAACUUUGAUCUUCACUCUAACCAAUCUGUUGAAAUUAUCUUUGAAAUACUUAAUACCCCAAGCACUAGCCUC